rnacentral:rRNA from 1 species
UACGUAGGGUGCAAGCGUUUGUCCGGAAUUAUUGGGCGUAAAGAGCUCGUAGGCGGUUUGUCGCGUCUGCUGUGAAAACUGGAGGCUCAACCUCAGGCCUGCAGUCGAUACGGGCGGACUUGAGUACUGCAGGGGAGACUGGAAUUCCUGGUGUAGCGGUGAAAUGCGCAGAUAUCAGGAGGAACACCGGUGGCGAAGGCGGGUCUCUGGGCAGUAACUGACGCUGGAGGAGCGAAAGCGUGGGAGCGAACAGG